GAUGAACGCUGGCGGCGUGCCUAAUACAUGCAAGUCGAGCGAACGGACGAGAAGCUUGCUUCUCUGAUGUUAGCGGCGGACGGGUGAGUAACACGUGGAUAACCUACCUAUAAGACUGGGAUAACUUCGGGAAACCGGAGCUAAUACCGGAUAAUAUUUUGAACCGCAGGGUUCAAAAGUGAAAGACGGCCUUGCUGUCACUUUUAGAUGGAUCCGCGCUGCAUUAGCUAGUUGGUAAGGUAACGGCUUACCAAGGCAACGAUGCAUAGCCGACCUGAGAGGGUGAUCGGCCACACUGGAACUGAGACACGGUCCAGGCUCCUACGGGAGGCAGCAGUAGGGAAUCUUCCGCAAUGGGCGAAAGCCUGACGGAGCAACGCCGCGUGAGUGAUGAAGGUCUUCGGAUCGUAAAACUCUGUUAUUAGGGAAGAACAUAUGUGUAAGUAACUGUGCACAUCUUGACGGUACCUAAUCAGAAAGCCACGGCUAACUACGUG
rnacentral:rRNA from 1 species